rnacentral:misc_RNA from 1 species
GAGCUGUUUGCUGCUCUUAUAAUAAACUGUUAUAUUUGCUUCACAUUUAUAUAUAAACAGGAAUUGAAUUAGAAGUCCUACAUGGGAUACGUGGAAGUUACUAAGAGCCCUGUAUAUACAUUAUGGUACAAACUAGUGACAAGCCUGUUAAAAACCCCCAAUUUUUUUUCUCCUGGGAUCAAUUGAUAUGAAUCAAUUUAUCAUUUAUUCUGAUUUACAUUGCUUGCAGGUUUGAUCUACUUCACUUGGUAGUGAGAUCUGCAUAAUCUGUUGGUGCAUAUGGUAUAAACAGGUCUCUUAAAAACCCAUUCUUUCUUCUGGGGUUGUAGCCCAUGUCCUUGCAGAGUUGGUCAUUAUACCAUAUAUUAGCGUUGCUAAUACAAGCUCUCUUAAAGUAUCUCCCAGUAACCUGCUUGAUGUGAUCUCCCCACAUCUUGGCCUCCUUUUCCAUGCUCUUAACACAAGGCAAUUCAAGGUUUCCAUCAAGAAAAUUUGCUAACCAUAGGCUUUUCAAUUCAGAGUUUCCCAGAGUUGAGAAACUCUCAUUAUAUCCUAUAAUCGCCAAUUGAGGUAUUCUAGGAUGAAGUAUUUGCCUGUAAAGGAGAAGUGGUGCAGUAGCCUUUAAGCAAUCCUGGAAAACUGAAGACUCAAAAAUGUUUGCAAGUUUUUCAUAACCCUUGAAUCCUGUGGCGAAAAUCACAAUGUCUGUUUCUAAUGGCUGAGCUUCUCCUUCAAUAAUUAGACCUUCUCUACAGAACCUAAAGCUUUGCGAAUUCUUAAUGAUGAUGCUCCCCUCUUCCACUUUGUCGAAGAAAUUUUCGGGUAGCAUUGCAAUCUGACAUGAAGACAUAUGUUCAUCAAAGCUGAAUUUGGGUAGCAUUCCAUACUUCUUCAAUGGGAGAGUCCACUUGAGAUAGCUCUCCAUGAAUUUGGAAAUUCCCCAUCUCUGUGUAUCCGUACAUUGUCUUCAGAAAAUUUGUACGUGUAGAAGUAGUGUUGAACAUAUAUGCAGAUUGAUAGAAAUAAAAAUUACCAAGGGUGAAAGCAAGGUGACCAAAAAGCUAAAUAGAAAUGUUUCUCCAGGCUUAUGAACCAAUAGUUCUGAGAAGCGAUUCAAGUACAAAAAACCAAGCAAAAAUACAGAGAAAGAGCCGCCAGGCAGAAACCAUUGAGCAUUCCUUUGAACCAUCGUGCAUGGGAAAUUGACUCCAUUUGUAUUGGCGCAUUCUGUUGCUGUAUCAGCUGCAGAUUUGUGUGAACCAAUGACUGCAACUCUCUUUCCUUGGAUGAAUUUUUCAGUACCCAAAUUGUCCAAAGCAGAGAAGUCACCUGAAUGCAUUACCUUGCCCUUGAAUACUUGUGGCCCUUCAUCUGGAGAGAACUCUGGAAUGUUUGGAACGCCACUAAAUUGUCCAAUGCAAAGAAUAACAAACUCAGCAUGAUAUUCCUCUAUGCUGCAAGUUUUGGUGUGUUGAACCUUGAUAUGCCAUUUUCCUUUAGAGCCAAAAGGCUUACCAGUUCCACCCCAUAGAUCCCAUGAUUCCAUCUCUUGAAAAGAUUCUCCUACAUAAUCUAUAGAGAUGACUCUGGAAUUGAAUUUUAUGCAAGCAAAGACAUUGAAAUUAUGAGCAUAAGAUUCAAGAUACUCCAUAACCUGGGUGUGGGUAGGAUGCUCAUCUUUGACAGAGGAAGGCCAUGGAAAAUCAGAAAACUGGUAUACUUGUUUGGUGUUUUGGAGCCUGGUUGAGUCAAUAGUACGUGCCCAAACUCCUCCAAUUCUUUCUUCAGCUUCAAAAACUGUUGGAGUCAAUCCCUUGUUGAGAGUGUACUUGCAGGCAAGAAGGCCACUAACUCCUGCUCCGAUGAUCGCCACACGAUUUUCCAUUAGGAACUCAAAUUUUUCAGAUCCAAGGUUUAUCCUUAUUGUAAAAGUUGUAUCCGUUCAAAC